AAAACUAUAAAAGGCCAAAAUAGUUAACACUACUAAAAAAUAGGCCUAAGUCGAAAUCCUAUGUAAAACAACAUGUUUCGACACAUUAAUACAACUCAACACACUAGCCUAUUCGACACAUCCUUGUUCUGUCGAACAAUUUGUUUCGAUACAAAGAAUUACAAUUCAACAUCUUUGACUAGAUCUGUAUAUGUUAUGCUAAAUAUUAUGCGUGAUAUAUA
rnacentral:lncRNA from 1 species